rnacentral:miRNA from 1 species
UGAACCCAGAUCGGCCCGGG